GGUUAAGCGACUAAGCGUACACGGUGGAUGCCCUGGCAGUCAGAGGCGAUGAAGGACGUGCUAAUCUGCGAUAAGCGUCGGUGAGGUGAUAUGAACCGUUAUAACCGGCGAUUUCCGAAUGGGGAAACCCAGUGUGAUUCGUCACACUAUCAUUAACUGAAUCCAUAGGUUAAUGAGGCGAACCGGGGAACUGAAACAUCUAAGUACCCCGAGGAAAAGAAAUCAACCGAGAUUCCCCCAGUAGCGGCGAGCGAACGGGGAGCAGCCCAGAGCCUGAAUCAGUGUGUGUGUUAGUGGAAGCGUCUGGAAAGGCGCGCGAUACAGGGUGACAGCCCCGUACACAAAAAUGCACAUAUUGUGAGCUCGAUGAGUAGGGCGGGACACGUGGUAUCCUGUCUGAAUAUGGGGGACCAUCCUCCAAGGCUAAAUACUCCUGACUGACCGAUAGUGAACCAGUACCGUGAGGGAAAGGCGAAAAGAACCCCGGCGAGGGGAGUGAAAAAGAACCUGAAACCGUGUACGUACAAGCAGUGGGAGCCUCUUUUAUGGGGUGACUGCGUACCUUUUGUAUAAUGGGUCAGCGACUUAUAUUCUGUAGCAAGGUUAACCGAAUAGGGGAGCCGAAGGGAAACCGAGUCUUAACUGGGCGUUAAGUUGCAGGGUAUAGACCCGAAACCCGGUGAUCUAGCCAUGGGCAGGUUGAAGGUUGGGUAACACUAACUGGAGGACCGAACCGACUAAUGUUGAAAAAUUAGCGGAUGACUUGUGGCUGGGGGUGAAAGGCCAAUCAAACCGGGAGAUAGCUGGUUCUCCCCGAAAGCUAUUUAGGUAGCGCCUCGUGAAUUCAUCUCCGGGGGUAGAGCACUGUUUCGGCAAGGGGGUCAUCCCGACUUACCAACCCGAUGCAAACUGCGAAUACCGGAGAAUGUUAUCACGGGAGACACACGGCGGGUGCUAACGUCCGUCGUGAAGAGGGAAACAACCCAGACCGCCAGCUAAGGUCCCAAAGUCAUGGUUAAGUGGGAAACGAUGUGGGAAGGCCCAGACAGCCAGGAUGUUGGCUUAGAAGCAGCCAUCAUUUAAAGAAAGCGUAAUAGCUCACUGGUCGAGUCGGCCUGCGCGGAAGAUGUAACGGGGCUAAACCAUGCACCGAAGCUGCGGCAGCGACGCUGAUGCGUUGUUGGGUAGGGGAGCGUUCUGUAAGCCUGUGAAGGUGUGCUGUGAGGCAUGCUGGAGGUAUCAGAAGUGCGAAUGCUGACAUAAGUAACGAUAAAGCGGGUGAAAAGCCCGCUCGCCGGAAGACCAAGGGUUCCUGUCCAACGUUAAUCGGGGCAGGGUGAGUCGACCCCUAAGGCGAGGCCGAAAGGCGUAGUCGAUGGGAAACAGGUUAAUAUUCCUGUACUUGGUGUUACUGCGAAGGGGGACGGAGAAGGCUAUGUUGGCCGGGCGACGGUUGUCCCGGUUUAAGCGUGUAGGCUGGUUUUCCAGGCAAAUCCGGAAAAUCAAGGCUGAGGCGUGAUGACGAGGCACUACGGUGCUGAAGCAACAAAUGCCCUGCUUCCAGGAAAAGCCUCUAAGCAUCAGGUAACAUCAAAUCGUACCCCAAACCGACACAGGUGGUCAGGUAGAGAAUACCAAGGCGCUUGAGAGAACUCGGGUGAAGGAACUAGGCAAAAUGGUGCCGUAACUUCGGGAGAAGGCACGCUGAUAUGUAGGUGAAGUCCCUCGCGGAUGGAGCUGAAAUCAGUCGAAGAUACCAGCUGGCUGCAACUGUUUAUUAAAAACACAGCACUGUGCAAACACGAAAGUGGACGUAUACGGUGUGACGCCUGCCCGGUGCCGGAAGGUUAAUUGAUGGGGUCAGCGCAAGCGAAGCUCUUGAUCGAAGCCCCGGUAAACGGCGGCCGUAACUAUAACGGUCCUAAGGUAGCGAAAUUCCUUGUCGGGUAAGUUCCGACCUGCACGAAUGGCGUAAUGAUGGCCAGGCUGUCUCCACCCGAGACUCAGUGAAAUUGAACUCGCUGUGAAGAUGCAGUGUACCCGCGGCAAGACGGAAAGACCCCGUGAACCUUUACUAUAGCUUGACACUGAACAUUGAGCCUUGAUGUGUAGGAUAGGUGGGAGGCUUAGAAGUGUGGACGCCAGUCUGCAUGGAGCCGACCUUGAAAUACCACCCUUUAAUGUUUGAUGUUCUAACGUGGACCCGUGAUCCGGGUUGCGGACAGUGUCUGGUGGGUAGUUUGACUGGGGCGGUCUCCUCCUAAAGAGUAACGGAGGAGCACGAAGGUUGGCUAAUCCUGGUCGGACAUCAGGAGGUUAGUGCAAUGGCAUAAGCCAGCUUGACUGCGAGCGUGACGGCGCGAGCAGGUGCGAAAGCAGGUCAUAGUGAUCCGGUGGUUCUGAAUGGAAGGGCCAUCGCUCAACGGAUAAAAGGUACUCCGGGGAUAACAGGCUGAUACCGCCCAAGAGUUCAUAUCGACGGCGGUGUUUGGCACCUCGAUGUCGGCUCAUCACAUCCUGGGGCUGAAGUAGGUCCCAAGGGUAUGGCUGUUCGCCAUUUAAAGUGGUACGCGAGCUGGGUUUAGAACGUCGUGAGACAGUUCGGUCCCUAUCUGCCGUGGGCGCUGGAGAACUGAGGGGGCUGCUCCUAGUACGAGAGGACCGGAGUGGACGCAUCACUGGUGUUCGGGUUGUCAUGCCAAUGGCACUGCCCGGUAGCUAAAUGCGGAAGAGAUAAGUGCUGAAAGCAUCUAAGCACGAAACUUGCCCCGAGAUGAGUUCUCCCUGACCCUUUAAGGGUCCUGAAGGAACGUUGAAGACGACGACGUUGAUAGGCCGGGUGUGUAAGCGCAGCGAUGCGUUGAGCUAACCGGUACUAAUGAACCGUGAGGCUUAACCUU
rnacentral:rRNA from 1 species